CAAGUGGUUCUAAUACACAGCAGUUGAGACCCACCACUCGAUGGCAGUCCCGGCAUCAGGGACGGAACAAGAGCACCCAUGAAUCCCCACCCCAGGGUCUUAUUUGGGAUAGAAAUCUUACAUGCCAGUCUUGCACCCUGGCUCUUCAAGAGCCGGCAGGAAUGUCUCUGUCAAGACAAGGACACAAGGGACAGGACUCCAAGGGAUAGAGCACAGGUCAUCGAAGAAAGAGGACAGAAGCCCUGGAUUUCAGGGCCCAGGUUCAUCUGUGUCCUCCGCACACAGAGGGCCAAGUAGAGGAACUCCAUCCGCCCUCUGCUCCCGUGCCAACAGGGAGUAUACAACAUCCCCCACAGGGGUCUACCCAACAUCUACCUUUCCCUCCCAGUCCCCAAACUUGACCUAAAAUCACCUCCUGGGGCGGCAUUCCCUCUCCUUGUAUUCCUGCAACUUUGUUUGCUUCCUGGGUUUAAUGUUUGCCAUUCACCCUCCGCUACAUUUCAUGUUGCGUCUAUGCCACGUUUCUUGUUUCUCCCUCCAUUGUUUCUGAAAAUGUGAGCAAAUGUGAAUUUAUACUUGUGUUUACCCACUGUUUUCAAAAAACCAAAAGGUAGCCCACACCAUACCUCUGUAAACAUCGCUUUCUUCACUCGUUGUGUCCUGAGGAUGCCUUCCCAGCAGUAGACAGAGACCCUCCUCAUCCCUGGUAGACUACCUAGGGCUCCAGUGUGCAGACCCACCAUCAAAAGAAACCACGGUCUCCUGUUGUCAGAUCCUUGGCUUCUUCGUCAUCUUUUGCUGUUCAAGGUAGUGCCAUAUGCAUAUGUCAUUUUGCAUUUUGCCAAUAAUACCCCAGCUUGGGGUAGGCUUCUGACUGCAAGCACUCAGCUCUCUGUGUCUGUGCCUUCUGGAGAGCAUGGUAAGCAGCGAGUGACCUGGCAAGCCAGUUACACAGGAUUUGGUCCACAGAGUUCCUGGUGUACCUUGGAAAGUACACUUUUACAUGUCUCCAAAUGAAGGCUGCAGUGAGUUUUCUGAGCACCAAGGCUAAGCUCCAAGUCUGGACUCCCUGGGCCUUUUCGAGUCCUGGUUUAAGCCCAGACCGAUUCUGGCCGUUCGUUUUUGCCUUCCCACAGCUUCCAUGGGCCUCUACUAGAGGCCUCUAAAGAGGCCUCUUUCCACCUCUACUAUCACAUUCUCUUGGUCUCUGGCACAAGAGUGGCAACAACUGAGGUGCAGGGUUCAAGCUGCAGACUGAUAUCGCAGCAAAAUCUACUUUACGAGGAGACAGAGCAAAAUGGCUCCCAUCUGUAACCCAGGAAGAGGGCUUUCACCAGGAACCAAGUCAGUCAGCACCUUGAGCUGAGAUUUGUAGCCUUCAAAACUGUAAGAAAUAAAUGUCUGUUGCUUAA